UUCCUGGUGUAGCGGUGAAAUGCGCAGAUAUCAGGAGGAACACCGAUGGCGAAGGCAGGUCUCUGGGCAUUAACUGACGCUGAGGAGCGAAAGCAUGGGGAGCGAACAGGAUUAGAUACCCUGGUAGUCCAUGCCGUAAACGUUGGGCACUAGGUGUGGGGGACAUUCCACGUUUUCCGCGCCGUAGCUAACGCAUUAAGUGCCCCGCCUGGGGAGUACGGCCGCAAGGCUAAAACUCAAAGGAAUUGACGGGGGCCCGCACAAGCGGCGGAGCAUGCGGAUUAAUUCGAUGCAACGCGAAGAACCUUACCAAGGCUUGACAUGAACCGGAACGGCGCAGAGAUGUGUCGGCCACUUGUGGCCGGUUUACAGGUGGUGCAUGGUUGUCGUCAGCUCGUGUCGUGAGAUGUUGGGUUAAGUCCCGCAACGAGCGCAACCCUCGUUCCAUGUUGCCAGCGGGUUAUGCCGGGGACUCAUGGGAGACUGCCGGGGUCAACUCGGAGGAAGGUGGGGACGACGUCAAAUCAUCAUGCCCCUUAUGUCUUGGGCUUCACGCAUGCUACAAUGGCCGGUACAAAGGGUUGCGAUGCUGUGAGGUGGAGCUAAUCCCAAAAAGCCGGUCUCAGUUCGGAUUGAGGUCUGCAACUCGACCUCAUGAAGUCGGAGUCGCUAGUAAUCGCAGAUCAGCAACGCUGCGGUGAAUACGUUCCCGGGCCU
rnacentral:rRNA from 1 species